GCCUCAGUGGCUCAGUCGGUUGAGCAUCUGACUUCAGCUCAGGUCAUGAUCUCACAGUUCGUGAGUUCGAGCCCCACGUCGGGCU
rnacentral:tRNA from 1 species